rnacentral:tRNA from 1 species
UCCUUGGUAGCUCAGCUGGUAAAGAAUCUGCCUGCAGUGCAGAAGACCUGGGUUCGAUCCCUGGGUUGGGAA